AAUUACGAGUAAUCGCGGUCUAGUUAUCUAGGCUGAGGAAAGUCCACGCCAGCGCGAGCUGAGAUGCUUGCAGUGUUUGUGCUUGGCCCAACAAGCCAAGGUACCUUCGGGUAACGGCAGUGAAAGCACUACGGUUUUUAACUAUGUGUGAAUAGCUUGAAAGUGCCACAGAGACGCAGUGUUGUAAGAAAUUACAAUAAUGGAACGCGGUAAACCCCGCAAGCUGGCAACCCAAACUUUGGUAGGGGCGCUUCAUAACGAGAAAUGAAUCUACUGUGAAGGCUUAAUUGUAGAUAGAUGAUUACUGACUGCACUAGAUUGCCAGUCUAGUGCAUGAACAAAACGUGGCUUAUAGGA
rnacentral:RNase_P_RNA from 1 species